UUUAAAUUGAGAGUUUGAUCCUGGCUCAGGAUGAACGCUGGUGGCGUGCCUAAUACAUGCAAGUCGUACGCUAGCCGCUGAAUUGAUCCUUCGGGUGAAGUGAGGCAAUGACUAGAGUGGCGAACUGGUGAGUAACACGUAAGAAACCUGCCCUUUAGUGGGGGAUAACAUUUGGAAACAGAUGCUAAUACCGCGUAACAACAAAUCACACAUGUGAUCUGUUUGAAAGGUCCUUUUGGAUCGCUAGAGGAUGGUCUUGCGGCGUAUUAGCUUGUUGGUAGGGUAGAAGCCUACCAAGGCAAUGAUGCGUAGCCGAGUUGAGAGACUGGCCGGCCACAUUGGGACUGAGACACUGCCCAAACUCCUACGGGAGGCUGCAGUAGGGAAUUUUCCGCAAUGCACGAAAGUGUGACGGAGCGACGCCGCGUGUGUGAUGAAGGCUUUCGGGUCGUAAAGCACUGUUGUAAGGGAAGAAUAACUGAAUUCAGAGAAAGUUUUCAGCUUGACGGUACCUUACCAGAAAGGGAUGGCUAAAUACGUGCCAGCAGCCGCGGUAAUACGUAUGUCCCGAGCGUUAUCCGGAUUUAUUGGGCGUAAAGCGAGCGCAGACGGUUUAUUAAGUCUGAUGUGAAAUCCCGAGGCCCAACCUCGGAACUGCAUUGGAAACUGAUUUACUUGAGUGCGAUAGAGGCAAGUGGAACUCCAUGUGUAGCGGUGAAAUGCGUAGAUAUGUGGAAGAACACCAGUGGCGAAAGCGGCUUGCUAGAUCGUAACUGACGUUGAGGCUCGAAAGUAUGGGUAGCAAACGGGAUUAGAUACCCAGGUAGUCCAUACCGUAAACGAUGGGUGCUAGUUGUUAAGAGGUUUCCGCCUCCUAGUGACGUAGCAAACGCAUUAAGCACCCCGCCUGAGG
rnacentral:rRNA from 1 species